rnacentral:rRNA from 1 species
UACGAAGGGGGCUAGCGUUGCUCGGAAUCACUGGGCGUAAAGGGUGCGUAGGCGGGUCUUUUAAGUCAGGGGUGAAAUCCUGGAGCUCAACUCCAGAACUGCCUUUGAUACUGAAGAUCUUGAGUUCGGGAGAGGUGAGUGGAACUGCGAGUGUAGAGGUGAAAUUCGUAGAUAUUCGCAAGAACACCGGUGGCGAAGGCGGGAUCCUGGGCCAGUACUGACGCUGAGGAGCGAAAGCGUGGGGAGCAAACAGG